AUUCCAGCUCCAAUAGCGUAUAUUAAAGUUGCUGCAGUUAAAAAGCUCGUAGUUGGAUUUGUGGCGCGGUCGUCCGGCGGGGCUCCUUCAUUGGGGCCGUUUGUCUGGUUUUUCGACCGCACCAUUCUCGGGUAGUGUGUCGCUGGCAUUAGGUUGUCGGCUUCUUCACGCCCGUCGUUUACUGUGAAAAAAUUAGAGUGUUCAAAGCAGGCUUAGGCCGUUGGAUACAUUAGCAUGGAAUAAUGAGAUAGGGCCACGACGGUCUAUUUUGUUGGUUUGCACGUUGUGGUAAUGAUUAACAGGAACGGUUGGGGGUAUUCGUAUUCAAUUGUCAGAGGUGAAAUUCUUGGAUUUAUGGAAGACGAACUACUGCGAAAGCAUUUACCAAGGAUGUUUUCAUUA
rnacentral:rRNA from 1 species